UACGGAGGGUGCGAGCGUUGUCCGGAAUCACUGGGCGUAAAGGGCGCGUAGGCGGCCUGAUAAGUCGGGGGUGAAAUCCUGCGGCUUAACCGCAGGGCUGCCUUCUAAACUGUCGGGCUUGAGCACAGUAGAGGCAGGUGGAAUUCCCGGUGUAGCGGUGGAAUGCGUAGAGAUCGGGAAGAACAUCAGUGGCGAAGGCGGCCUGCUGGGCUGUUGCUGACGCUGAGGCGCGACAGCGUGGGGAGCAAACAGG
rnacentral:rRNA from 1 species